AGACCCAUCACGACAGAAAACUUUCUUUUGAUUUUCUCGGCUCUCUGUAUAAUUGUAUGGUCAUAGCAACCUGCUGCCCGUACAACCGCGAUGCACAGUCGCUCUAUGUUGUCAGCCUGUGGAGAGCAAAGUCCAAGUAAGGGACUGCCUUCUGACGUUAAAAUUGUCGAGGGCUGCAUCGAGGGCUUUAAUAAAUGGGCCAUCCUCUUUCUUGAACCCUUUCGAUAUGGUGGCGUUCAGUUUAGCCAACUCAGUAUCCUAAAUCAUUUGUAUGAUUAUAAUGUCUUAGUGUACCUAUUAGCACAUACCAGUUUGUUUGCUCGCAGGGCUUUCUCCUCGAGCUCGGAGCGGAGGGCUUGCAGUCGUGGGUCAUCCUCCUCCUCACCUUCCUCACCCUCACCUAGCACAACCAGUAGAGCCACCAGAUCGUUGAGUUCAUCAACUUCUUCGUUUGCCCUACAAAAUAAUGUAUUUUAAAUCUCUCUAUAUUUUCCAUGUAAUUUGUGGUACAUGUACUAACCUGUUCAGCUCAUCCUUGAGGGUCCUGGCUCUGGCAAAGUCGUCCACAUAGUGGGAGUAAGAUGGGCCACCCCUCUCUCGACUGUCUUGUUCUCCUCUGACUUCCAUGUCCAGCUGGUGGCACUCAUCUUCCAUCAAUGGAGAACAGGCGAUAGAAAAUCCCUAAACUGCAGUCCUGGGGGGCAAACCUGCAUCCAAUUAAUGAAUAAGCUGCAACAAAGCUGCGGUGGUCUUGCAGGAUGCUGUCAGUGCUUCUGGUUGGAACAUUGGCGGGUGGAUCACGCAGCUGCUCUGAUUUGAUCACACACCAUAAGCAGCAAUGUCGGCCUAUUCAUAUGAUACAAGUACCUCCAUGUCUUGUUGUGAAGACUGUCCACCUCAUGUUCGUACCUCUGCAAAGCAAUCUUGAGGUUGGUGACAUUGUCUGGAGCUUCAAACACGCAGAAGGCACAAGUGUUGACUGGGGAAUUGGGGUGAUCAAUGUUG